AGUGAACGCUGGCGGUAGGCCUAACACAUGCAAGUCGAACGGCAGCACAGUAAUCGCUUGCUCUUACGGUUGGCGAGUGGCGGACGUGUGAGGAAUACAUCGGCCUCUACUUUUUCGUGGGGGCUAACGUCGGGAAACUUACGCUAAUACCGCAUACGACCUCCGGGUGAAAGCUGGGGAUCUUCGGCCCUUGCGCGUUUGAUUGCGCCGUGGUCGGUUUAGCUUGUUGGCGGGGUAAAGGCCCACCAUGGCGACGAUCCGUAGCUGGUCUGAGAGGAUGAUCAGCGACACUGGAACUGAGACACGGUCCAGAGACCUACGGGAGGCAGCAGUGGGGAAGAUAGGACAAUGGGCGCAAGCCUGAUCCAGCGAUACCGCGUGGGUGAAGAAGGCCUGCGGGUUGUAAAGCCCUUUUGUUGGGAAAGAAAAGCAGCAGGUUAAAACAACGCUGGUGUGACGGUACCGAAAGAAUAAGCACCGGCUAACUACGUG
rnacentral:rRNA from 1 species